UAAAUAAAUGGCUGAUCAUUGCAUUGUUUUAUUUGUUCAGUGAGGCUUUGAAGAUAUGCUUGUGUCCUCACAGGGAGCGGUGUAUUUGCUCUAGGGGAGAGGUCAGACACAUGUCAGAGAGCUGCUGCCUUGGCUUCUCCUGGUAUUCGUGGCAGAGGACAAUCGUGUGCAGCUGAAAUUGUUUCAUCCAAGGAAACAGAGACCAGAGGCCUUCUGUGGUUGAUGGAAGUAUUCAGAAUUCCUACGGGUCCUGAAGCAGGGAUCAUCCCCUGUAAAUUAACAGGCCAGAGAGUUACGUAAGGAGCUCAAGUUCCUCUGCCUCUGGAAGUUAGACGUUUCAGAAACACCUUCAACAUUGGAAAAAACUCUCAGUAAGAGGAAAGUGUUCUGCUGUGACAUCGUUUGAACUUAAACUACAACAGAAGAUGUGAUCUCAUUGAAACAAAAUAUGUGUUUUUCCAGGGAAGAGAACUCCCCAUUUCUGAGCAGAAUCGCACUAAUUAGAGCCUUGAUCCAGGAUUAAAUAUGGUAGGUUUGAACCCACUGAUUUUUAUGGUGUCAGGAUUACACCUUCUCAUUACAGAGAUGGACUUUAUAGCUUCUAUUCAAACUUGAGUAGUGUCAGCUACAUGGGAUUGAAUUUGAGACCAUGGACAAAAAUGAGUUGGGAUGUGUCCCCAAGAAGGCGUGCCAUAAAGCUCACAGACUAAUAAGCAAAUAGCAAGCUCCGUCCACCUGCCACCACAGGAAGAGGCACUGGCAAUGGAAAUGCUUGUGUUUUGCCAUUCCCGUGCCUUUUUCUGUUAGUGUUGUAAACAGGAGAUUCCUUCACACAACCACAACGGAAGCAGGCCAGCAGAUACGGUUUCCCUGCCCCAACCUCCUUAUGUUGCCUCCACAAGAGAGCAUUUUGGUGCCUUCCACUUCAGGAGGGGGAAGUGUUGGGUUUCCUGCAUCCCCUUAUCUACACUGAUGUUUGCUCAACGUUGUCUCUGUCAUGGCUGCUCUGUCUGCACCCUCUCCUCUGGCCACCAGCUGUCUGUUUAAUCCAGUUCUGCAAGCAGAGUUAAUGAGACAUUCCUACUUAAAUAACCCGGUGCGAUUAAAGCUUCAGAUCUUUGCACCUCAACAGCUGUGUGUUGUCACUGAGAUAAAUAUUUUAACUGGUCUGGCAAUUCCCUAGCUGCCCUGCGUAAGUGGUUGAGAGAGUGGCUAUUGUUUCACCAUUUAUUAAAGUGAAAUUCAAGUUCUGACAAAACAGCCAUCUAGAAGAGACCUGUAAAGGAAGAGGAGAGUGGGAGCCAAUCUGGCUUUCCAGAGGGCUUUUGAGCAACAUGGGCAUGCCUGGCUGUAGUUGUCUGCUCCUAGGUGAAGUCUGGCUGUACUUUCAGUGGCAGCAUAGAUGAGUUUUGGUGCACCACUGAUGUCAGGUCAGGCAGUCCUUCAGGAUGCUGGACAAGCAAAAGCCUAUCCAAAUAAUUUGUCUUUGGAAAACAGGGCAAAUGUCAUUAAAUUCUUUCUGCUUGCAUGGCAGCAGUCUUACAAAGGAAGGCUGAACAAUCUGAUCUUGAAUUCAGCUUACUGAAUUAAGAGUUAAGAAGGUGGUAGAUUUCUAGCCUGUAUUUGUCCUAAUGGAGACCAAGAAAAAUCGUUUCACAUGUUUUGAAGAACUGGGUGAGAUAUUGAUAUUAAAAUAGGUUUAGCAUGACAAUCUAACUGAUCCAUGAUGGUUUUGUUGUUUGUUUUGCUGUUGUGGUGAUGGUGGUUUAUUUUUUCUAGUUUGUGGGUGUCAGCGGCACAGCAUCAUGGCUCAGAGGUGUGUGUGAAGACCUGGCCAAGGCAGGCCCCAAACACAAAUCUAGUUCCCCAGGCAGGCCCAGAAAGGACCCCCUCUGUCACUCCAGGCUUUGGCUUUUGAUUCACGCUUUGACUAACUGUAAGUACUAGCAGAAAGGGAAGGUUUCUGAAAAAGAAAUUAGAGCUACUCUACAUUUUGGUUCCUUCCCACCCCAAAAAGGACAAAAUUCUCACAAAGGCGCUGCCUGCUUUGUAAAUUAGCUGUAAUAAGGAAGAGGCCAGAGGAGACAAUUACUGUCUUGGUGUGCCUGGUAUAACCCAGCUUUCGCUCUCCCAAAUGCUGGGGGGGAGAUCUUACAGACAGGCAUGGAGGCUUGAUUUGGAGCCUGUCACCCAGCAUAUAAUUCACAUUCUCUUAAGGCGUCAUUGCUGUAACAGUGCCCUGAGUGACUCAUGGGGAUGAGAAAAGAUAAAGAAAAAAGCACGUUGAUUACUCUGAAAUUAAGAUAAUUCCCCCCCUUGUUUACAGUACAAAAAUUUUAUUUUUUUGUUAGGAUAAUUUAAAGUUUAAAACUGAAGUAGACAUAUUCAUUUUACAAACAAGAUAUUC